rnacentral:rRNA from 1 species
AGUGAACGCUGGCGGUAGGCCUAACACAUGCAAGUCGAACGGCAGCACAGUAAGAGCUUGCUCUUACCGGUGGCGAGUGGCGGAUGGGUGACGAAUACAUCGGAAUCUACUUUUUCGUGGGGGAUAACGGAGGGAAACUUACGCUAAUACCUCAUACGACCUACGGGUGAAAGCAGGGGAUCUUCGGACCUUGCGCGAUUGAAUGAGCCGAUGUCGGAUUAGCUAGUUGGCGGGGUAAAGGCCCACCAAGGCGACGAUCCGUAGCUGGUCUGAGAGGAUGAUCAGCCACACUGGAACUGAGACACGGUCCAGACUCCUACGGGAGGCAGCAGUGGGGAAUAUUGGACAAUGGGCGCAAGCCUGAUCCAGCCAUACCGCGUGGGUGAAGAAGGCCUUCGGGUUGUAAAGCCCUUUUGUUGGGAAAGAAAAGCAGCAGGUUAAUACCCCGCUGUUCUGACGGUACCCAAAGAAUAAGCACCGGCUAACUUCGUG